CAAAGUCACUUUCCCUUCGGGGCAUUGGAGACAGGUGGUGCAUGGUUGUCGUCAGCUCGUGUCGUGAGAUGUUGGGUUAAGUCCCGCAACGAGCGCAACCCCUAUUUCCAGUAGCCAGCAAGAAAGAUGGGAACUCUGGAGAGACUGCCCGGGAUAACUGGGAGGAAGGCGGGGAUGACGUCAAAUCAUCAUGCCCCUUAUGAUCAGGGCUACACACGUGCUACAAUGGCGUAAACAAAGGGAAGCGAAGUGGUGACACGAAGCAAAUCCGAAAAAUAACGUCUCAGUUCGGAUUGUAGUCUGCAACUCGACUACAUGAAGCUGGAAUCGCUAGUAAUCGCGAAUCAGAAUGUCGCGGUGAAUACGUUCCCGGGUCUUGUACACACCGCCCGUCACACCAUGGGAGUCGGAAAUGCCCGAAGUCAGUGACCCAACCGAGAGGAGGGAGCUGCCGAAGGUGGAGCCGGUAACUGGGGUGAAGUCGUAACAAGGUAGCCGUAUCGGAAGGUGCGGC
rnacentral:rRNA from 1 species